rnacentral:rRNA from 1 species
GCUAAGAAUAUUCCGCAAUGGACGAAAGUCUGACGGAGCGACGCCGCGUGGAUGAAGAAGGCCGAAAGGUUGUAAAAUUCUUUUGUCGGGGAAGAAUAACCAUGGGAGGGAAUGCCCGUGGGAUGACAUGAACCGGCGAAUAAGCCCCGGCUAACUACGUGCCAGCAGCCGCGGUAACACGUAGGGGGCGAGCGUUGUUCGGAAUUACUGGGCGUAAAGGGCAUGUAGGCGGUUUUGUAAGACUGGCGUGAAAGGCUGCAGCUUAACUGUAGCAUGGCGCUGGUAACUACAAGACUUGAGUCACGGAGAGGGAGCUAGAAUUCCAGGUGUAGGGGUGAAAUCUGUAGAUAUCUGGAAGAAUACCAGUGGCGAAGGCGAGCUUCUGGCCGAUGACUGACGCUGAGGUGCGAAAGCGUGGGUAGCAAACAGGAUUAGAUACCCGGGUAGUCC